GUUUUUAUGUGUUUUGUCAUUUGAUCUAGCAAGUUAUUACAGAUAUUAUCCCCAGUCACAGAAGAAGAAACUGAGGUUCAAUAAUGUUAAGUAAUUUUACCUUAAAGUAAGGGCGGGAACAGAAAUUCUUAACAGAGUUGUGUGGCUCUAACACCCAUGUACCCUUCACCACAACAGAUGGCAUGUUUAUUAUGUCUAUUUGAAACAUAAAUUA
rnacentral:lncRNA from 10 species